AUUGAACGCUGGCGGCAGGCCUAACACAUGCAAGUCGGACGGUAGCACAGAGGAGCUUGCUCCUUGGGUGACGAGUGGCGGACGGGUGAGUAAUGUCUGGGGAUCUGCCCGAUAGAGGGGGAUAACCACUGGAAACGGUGGCUAAUACCGCAUAACGUCGCAAGACCAAAGAGGGGGACCUUCGGGCCUCUCACUAUCGGAUGAACCCAGAUGGGAUUAGCUAGUAGGCGGGGUAAUGGCCCACCUAGGCGACGAUCCCUAGCUGGUCUGAGAGAAUGACCAGCCACACUGAAACUGAGACACGGUCCGGACUCCUAGGGGAGGCAGCAGUGGGGAAUAUUGCACAAUGGGCGCAAGCCUGAUGCAGCCAUGCCGCGUGUAUGAAGAAGGCCUUCGGGUUGUAAAGUACUUUCAGCGGGGAGGAAGGCGGUGAGGUUAAUAACCUCGCCGAUUGACGUUACCCGCAGAAGAAGCACCGGCUAACUCCGUGCCAGCCGCCGCCGUAA
rnacentral:rRNA from 1 species